rnacentral:misc_RNA from 1 species
GAUGAAGAACGUAGCGAAAUGCGAUAAGUAAUGUGAAUUGCAGAAUUCAGUGAAUCAUCGAAUCUUUGAACGCACAUUGCGCCCGCCAGUAUUCUGGCGGGCAUGCCUGUUCGAGCGUCAUUACAACCCUCAGGCCCCCGGGCCUGGCGUUGUGGAUCGGCGGAGCCCCCCGUGGGCACACGCCGUCCCCCAAAUGCAGUGGCGGUCCCGCCGCAGCUUCCAUCGCGUAGUAGCUAACACCUCGCGACUGGAGAGCGGCGCGGCCACGCCGUAAAACACCCAACUCUUCUGAAGUUGACCUCGAAUCAGGUAGGAAUACCCGUUGAACUUAAGCAUAUCAAUAAGCGGAGGA